UACAGAGGUCCCGAGCGUUGUUCGGAUUCACUGGGCGUAAAGGGUGCGUAGGCGGUCGGGUAAGUCUGAUGUGAAAUCUCACAGCUUAACUGUGAAACUGCAUUGGAUACUAUUCGGCUUGAGAGUUGGAGGGGGGACUGGAAUUCUCGGUGUAGCAGUGAAAUGCGUAGAUAUCGAGAGGAACACCAGCGGCGAAGGCGAGUCCCUGGUCUGUAACUGACGCUGAGGAGCGAAAGCGUGGGGAGCGAACAGG
rnacentral:rRNA from 1 species